rnacentral:rRNA from 1 species
UAGGGAAUCUUCGGCAAUGGACGAAAGUCUGACCGAGCAACGCCGCGUGAGUGAAGAAGGUUUUCGGAUCGUAAAACUCUGUUGUUAGAGAAGAACAAGGACGUUAGUAACUGAACGUCCCCUGACGGUAUCUAACCAGAAAGCCACGGCUAACUACGUGCCAGCAGCCGCGGUAAUACGUAGGUGGCAAGCGUUGUCCGGAUUUAUUGGGCGUAAAGCGAGCGCAGGCGGUUUCUUAAGUCUGAUGUGAAAGCCCCCGGCUCAACCGGGGAGGGUCAUUGGAAACUGGGAGACUUGAGUGCAGAAGAGGGGAGUGGAAUUCCAUGUGUAGCGGUGAAAUGCGUAGAUAUAUGGAGGAACACCAGUGGCGGAGGCGGCUCUCUGGUCUGUAACUGACGCUGAGGCUCGAAAGCGUGGGGAGCAAACAGG